UACGUAGGGUGCAAGCGUUGUCCGGAAUUAUUGGGCGUAAAGAGCUCGUAGGCGGUCUGUCACGUCGGCUGUGAAAACCCGAGGCUCAACCUCGGGCCUGCAGUCGAUACGGGCAGACUAGAGUUCGGUAGGGGAGACUGGAAUUCCUGGUGUAGCGGUGAAAUGCGCAGAUAUCAGGAGGAACACCGGUGGCGAAGGCGGGACUCUGGGCCGAUACUGACGCUGAGGAGCGAAAGCGUGGGGAGCAAACAGG
rnacentral:rRNA from 1 species